rnacentral:rRNA from 1 species
ACGGGCCACCGCACAGCUCGCUUCUGCUUAGGUUUCGUCCACCCUCGUCAUGAGCUGAUGAGCGAGUCGGGACCGACCGACCGUGUCUCGCCACGCUCGCUUGCGCCGGUUUCGGUACUCAGCGGGUGGGCCAGCCAGCCACCGAGGUUUCGCCAACGGCUGAUCUGAUCAUGACGGCAGCGCACAUAUUUUGCCCGGACGGUCACGGGGACGGACGUGUUCGGUGAUGCUGUCGCUGGGUUUGGGUUUGUCCGUGCUCCUUAUCAGUCGGUCAGCUCGCUCGCUAGUUCAGUACCACCGGCUGGUGGUCAGGAGGAGGGGGCGGAGGGGCGCCGGCGCCAAGUGGUAGCCGAUGCGCGACGGCGGGCCGUUCCGCCCGUCGCAGUAGGUCGGCGGGGACCUCCGGGAGCGCCGCCUCGCGCCGUACGCGGAGCAGCGGCAGCUGCGGAGCGAGGGCGACCGGCUGGUCCCGGGGAAGCUGGAGUAGUAGGUGUUCGAGAAGCUGGCCGGGACCGCGCGCGUCGACCUCCGGAAGAGGCGCGAGGUGGGGAGGCAGGGGCAGCAGCUGCGGGGGCGGCGGCAGCUGGCGGACGAGCUGGCGAAGUGGUACGAGCUGCAGCAGGGGCCCGAGCGGCGGCCGGACCUGAAGGGCGACAGGCAGGGGCGCGUCCAGUGGCACUCGCUGCGGCGGCGCGAGCGGCGCCUGCUGGGGAGGGUGCCGGAGGCGAAGGGCGAGUAGCGGUUCGGCGACCGGCAGCUGCCGUCGCGCCCCAGGGUGCUGGACACGGAGCACAUGGCGCGGCUCCCGGAGGCCCCGGAGGUGUGCGGGCAGCAGGAGGUCCUCAAGCAGUUGGUGCCGCCGCACGAGAAGUUCCAGAUGCACCACCCGCCGGCGCGGCACACGCAGGCCGCGUCGUCGGACGGCCUGCACGGGCGCCGCGCGGAGCGCCUGGGGCUGCGGCUGCGGAGGCAGGGGAAGCGGUUGUAGAGGUCGGCGGGGCGCGACCUGUUCCCCCUCCUGAGCUACGGCGGGCGGCGCAAGCAGCUGGUCCAGCGCGCGCCCGAGGCGGUUCGCGACCCCAACGUGGAGGAGUUGAAGCUGUACAAGCGCCGCUGCCUCGACCUGCUGCCGCCGGCCGUCUCUAUGAAGGAACAGCUGUAGUUGAUGAAGGGCCCCAAGCGGUUCUACGGCCCGAUACUCUGACGAGAGUGCCUAAAGAAGCGGCUCUACUAAGUCCAGCCGUGUCCGCGGCGGUCGAAGCUCUUCGAGCUUAGACACGGGACGUUACCGUAUCUAGAGCUCACUUCACUUGCUCCACACGGGCUUCUGGGGCAUGACGGCUAUUAUUUUUAAUUCUUUUACGACGUGUGAAGCGGCGCAUAUUCUAUAUACAUUAUCAUGACAGUUCCUUGACUAAUUCUGUAGCUACUAACUACGAUGAUAGAUACUUCCAAAGUUUAGAUUCCAUGAAGUUCACGUUGCUUAUAAGGUGGAGCGUCCUUUUCUUCUUAUAAGGAGGCCUAAACGGUAAAGAGGCUCUUUAUCAAUUUAGAAUUAGCUGAGCUAUUGGCUACCUAAUUGCGCUCGGUUUCUAAGGACGACGAUAGCCCUCAAGACGAAGAGAACAAAAAUCGCCGACACACUGCCGCUCGCCAUACCACGCUGCACGCUCCUGUAGGGUCCAAGAAGCAGACCGUAAACAUGCAUCAUCCUCCGACCGACUCGAAAGACACACCAUCCGGUAACAUAGGUAAAGAAACAGUGAGAAAAACGCUCCCGUAAAGCAACAGUGAAAUCAAUAUCUGUUCAGUUGACUUAAAACUUAAACCCGGUCAGCUAAAAAAACAAAUCUUAUUUUUUGUGAGAUAAUCGAAUCUUACAAGAGUACUUAUAUUUGUUGUAGUC